rnacentral:lncRNA from 10 species
CGCCGAGACCUCAAGCCCCGGCAUGCAGCGGGGCUCCUGGGGCCUGUCGGGAAGGGGCCUGGCGCGCGGGGCCCGCCGGGACUGGGGGUGUGCGGCUGCGCAGACUUGGUAACGCGAGAGCGCGCGGGGAGGGUGUGUCACGCCUCCCGAGACUGGGGCUGUGCGGCCUCACGGAGAAACUGAGGCAGGCGCGAAGCGUCGAGUGCGCGCGUGGCCCUGCAGGCAGGCGGAGACCCUGGUGGCUCCCAUACACGUAACAGCACUCACUGCUCUUUGACGUUAGUGAAUAGACCGUAAGCUCCCUGGAGCAGGGACCUUAUCCCAGCGUCUACCGCGGCGCCCGUCACCUACAGAUAAUCAGGUUUUGUACAUUCUUGGCUCAGAAAGUUGGACAGGACAGGAAGUCUUUUUUGGAAUACAAACCCACUGGUGGAAAAUUCAAAGGACUACUGGGAACAGGCAGGACCCACUGAUGAUCUCUUCUGGAGUUUUGGCCUGAAGCUAAAACUGGCAGCCCCUGGACUAAGUUCAGCAUAUAGACUAGAUCCGAUAUUUAGCCAUUAUGCACCCUGCACCAUAUUGAUGGUUAAAAUGUUGAAAUAUUUC